rnacentral:rRNA from 1 species
UAAGGAAUAUUGGUCAAUGGACGCAAGUCUGAACCAGCCAUGCCGCGUGGAGGAUUAAGGCCCUCUGGGUUGUAAACUCCUUUUAUCUGGGAAGAAAUGUACUUUUUCUUGAGUACUUGACGGUACCAGAGGAAUAAGCACCGGCUAACUCCGUGCCAGCAGCCGCGGUAAUACGGAGGGUGCAAGCGUUAUCCGGAUUCACUGGGUUUAAAGGGUGCGUAGGUGGGCAGAUAAGUCAGUGGUGAAAUCUUCCGGCUUAACCGGGAAACUGCCGUUGAUACUAUUUGUCUUGAAUAUUGCGGAGGUAAGCUGAAUAUGUCAUGGAGCGGUGAAAUGCUUAGAUAUGACAUAGAACACCAAUUGCGAAGGCAGCUUACUACACAAUCAUUGACACUGAGGCACGAAAGCGUGGGUAGCGAAC